ACACGCGGACGGUUCUGUGCGCCGCAAUGGCUGCCCGCGAGUAUCGGAGAGGCGGAGCUCUCAGUCUUUUACAGGACCGGGUCUCCUGAUGCCGCCGGUGGUUCCUCGAGGCCCCCUUCCACGCAUCCGCCGCCGCUGCUUCAUCAGGACUUCAUUUCGGUGACGCAGAGCUUUGGCGAGAGCUACGGCAACAGCAAGAACUGCCGGCGGCUCUUGUGCUGCAGGAGAUGAGAGAUCGUAGAAAUAAAGACACAAGACAAAGAGAUGGAAGAAAAGACAGCUGGGCCCAGGGGACCACUACCACCAAGGCAUGGAGACCGGUAGUGGCCCCGAAUGCCUGGCUGCACUGUUAUUCAUUCGAUACAAGGCAAGGGGGCAGGUAAGAAGUGUGAGUCGUCUCCAGCGAUACGUAAGGUCAUGUGAGUCACGUGUCCACCGGACAGGGGGCCCUUCCCUAUUUGGUAGCCGAGGCGGAGAGAGAAUGGGGACAGCUUAUGUCAUUAUUUCUUCUAUGUAUUUCUCGGAGAGAUCAAAGACUUUAAUACUUUCACUAAUUCUGCUACUGCUAUCUAGAAGGCACAGCCAGGUGUACAGGGCGGAACACGAAAGUGGACCAGGAGCGUGACCGCUGAAGCACAGCAUCACAGGGAGACGUUUAGGCCUCCGGAUGGCUGCGGGCGGGCUUGACUGAUGUCAGGCCUUCCACAAGAGGUGGUGGAGCAGAGUCUUCUCUAACUCCCCUGGGGAAACGAGACUCCCUUUCCUGGUCUGCUAAGCAGUGGGUGUCU
rnacentral:lncRNA from 1 species